UUUUUAUUAUAUCGAGUGUGAUCAAUCACAUAUGAACAACAUUAUGAAAAUUGCCGUUGAAAAUCAACAGUAUUGUUGAGAAAAUGUUUUCUGACGAAUAAUGACAUCUUCGAGUAAAUAACCCAAACAAAAAAAAAAAUAUUUUAGUAUAUUUUUAUUUGUUUACUUUAUUAAUUUCUAAAUUAUCAAUGGUACAAACUUAAUAAAAUUGUG
rnacentral:lncRNA from 1 species